rnacentral:rRNA from 1 species
GUGGAAUCGAGAACUCGGUUCCAGUCUACGGAGACAUUGGCAAUUGCAUGGACCUUAGCAGCAUGCGUGAUGAGAGCCUUCGCUGUAAGUCUUCGAUGAGAGAGGUUAGUUAAUGCAUCAUAUGACGUAAUCAGAGAGCACCGCUAACUCCGUGCAGCAGCGCGGUAUCGAGGGUGCGAGCGUUAUCGGAUACUGGCGUAAAGGGCAGCAGGCGGUUAUUUAGUGAGGUGUGAAAGCCCCGGGCCUACCUGGGAUGCAUUUCAGACUGGGUACUAGAGUACUUUAGGGAGGGGUAGAAUUCCACGUGUAGCGUGAAAUGCGUAGAGAUGUGGAGGAAUACCGAAGGCGAAGGCAGCCCCUUGGGAAUGUACUGACGCUCAUGUGCGAAAGCGUGGGGGAGCAAACAGGAUUAGAUACCCUGGUAGUCACGCUGUAAACGCUGUCGAUUUGGGGAUUGGGCUUAAAGCUUGGUGCCCGUAGCUAACGUGAUAAAUCGACCGCUGGGGAGUACGGCCGCAAGGUUAAAACUCAAAUGAAUUGACGGGGGCCCGCACAAGCGGUGGAGCAUGUGGUUUAAUUCGAAGCAACGCGAAGAACCUUACCAGGUCUUGACAUCCCUCUGACCGCUCUAGAGAUAGAGUUUUCCUUCGGGACAGAGGUGACAGGUGGUGCAUGGUUGUCGUCAGCUCGUGUCGUGAGAUGUUGGGUUAAGUCCCGCAACGAGCGCAACCCCUAUUGUUAGUUGCCAUCAUUUAGUUGGGCACUCUAGCGAGACUGCCGGUAAUAAACCGGAGGAAGGUGGGGAUGACGUCAAAUCAUCAUGCCCCUUAUGACCUGGGCUACACACGUGCUACAAUGGCUGGUACAACGAGUCGCAAGCCGGUGACGGCAAGCUAAUCUCUUAAAGCCAGUCUCAGUUCGGAUUGUAGGCUGCAACUCGCCUACAUGAAGUCGGAAUCGCUAGUAAUCGCGGAUCAGCACGCCGCGGUGAAUACGUCCCCGGGCCUUGUACACACCGCCCGUCACACCACGAGAGUUUGUAACACCCGAAGUCGGUGAGGUAACCGUAAGGAGCCAGCCGCCUAAGGUGGGAUAGAUGAUUGGGGUGAAGUCGUAACAAGGUAGCCGUAUCGGAAGGUGCGGCUGGAUCACCUCCUUC